CCUCAUAUGUAGUAUUGGAAGAUACAUGAACUUUCAGCAUCUAGCUUUCGAGAUAGCUUCAAAGAAAACAGAAACCGAUUUGGGAACGGAAUCAGAGAUGGCAGCGACUUCUUUCCAUCUUGCAAGGACUUCGAAUCCACAAAGAAAAUCUGGGUAAGGUUUCAUUCUUUGAUUUAGCCCUUCAUUCGACUACAAACGGCAAUGACUGAACCUUUUUCUUCUUUACUUGUUGGGACAUUGAAAUUUGAUUAAGGGCAUUGACUUUUUUUCAAAUCCCUGAAGAACACAAGUCUUGGGAAUGUGUUCUUGUCAAAUCAAAACAGAGAUGGAUUUCAAGUCAGAAAUUGAGUCCGAGAUGGAAUUGCAUUUGGGUGAUGGCUGGGUUCGCAUCUCAGAAGGAUUUGAGCUUGCAAUCGGGCUUUAUACCCAUAGAACAGGUGAGGACUUUUCUCUUUCCAUACUUCUUUGAUUUGUACGAAUUGGAAGCUGAAAUUUUGUGUUUGCUUCCUUGUUGGUGGCACUGGGCAAGCGAAAUUGUAUUUGACUGGUCUUGGUGAGUUUUGUGUUGAGACAUGGAAGUGCCAUUGCGGGAACAUACCAAGAGGGUGAGUUCCUUUCUUUUGUGCACACAAGACAAAAAUUUGUCUUGUUCAUCAUUCUUCAAACUGGACAUGACCAUCAUACCCUUUUUUUAUUUGAGUGCUAUGUCAAGUUUGUGAAGUUUUGUCUUCUUGUUGAGAGAUUAGAUAGAGCUCCACCGCUUGGACUUUUCUCUCCCAAUCUUUGUAUUUAUCUUGACAGGUUCUCUUUUCAACUGCUCAAAGACAUCGGUGCUGCAGUCUCACUAAACAAAGGGCUCAGAGUUUUUAUUUGAGAGCUUUUAUUGUUUUAGCUUAAAUUGGUGUUUGUGUGAGAACUCUGGGAGUUGGGGGAAUUUGUUUGGCUGGUGAUUUUGGAGAUAACAGUGGAUAGGUUGGUGUUCUGGUAACAUAGAGUUUGGAGGUGUAUUUAGGGGGGUGUAUUGCAUUUGGAUUCAUACAGAGUUAUUUUAAUCAAUUGGCUUUUUGAAAAGUCUACAGACUCUUUAAAAAGUUCAUAGACUUUCAUUGAUUUCUUAAAACCAUCGAUUUUUAAUCAUAGACUUUCACUGAUUUCUGAAAUCUACAGAUUUCAUAUGAAUGACUUAUGUAGAUUUCUUAAUACUUACAGAGUUACAGGAAAUGAACAAAAAUAAAGAUGCAAUGACAAACACAUAAUGACACCGAUUAUAAGUUGAGUGUUCAUCUAUCUAAUUUCGAUGCAUACAUUUAUAAUAUUUGAUUGAAAUACAUAAACAUAGGUAACAAAAAAAUUAUAUUAACUUAACAACACGCAUAGUACGUAAACCAAAAACACAUUAUAAAGUGGGACAUUAGAUGUUCAUAAGUUUAAUUCAUGUACGCUAAUAUAAUAAUAUAUGAUCAUGUGGUUCUAAUAUCAAGAGUUAGUAGAUAAUAUUUUAGGUUAUCGAGGAUUCCAAGCAUUACAAUUGAAAUACAACAAAAUAUUAACAUUCAAAAAACAUUGAAAAGAAUAGGUAGAAUAGAACAUUGAUAGCAC
rnacentral:lncRNA from 1 species